ACCACAACCUGAGGAUGAUCGGAUGAUGAGUGCGGUUUUGACUUGCAUUUCCCUGAUCCUGGAGUGGCUGCUCCCUGAAGAGAGUCCUGGUCCUAGGAAUCUGGGAUUCUACCUGAAGUCCCAAAGAUGAACAAAUGGUAGAGAGGCACCUGACUGAGCCUGCUUCCUAACCGACUUCUCAGAACUGUCUGCCGCUGGGCUGCCUAACAGAAGCUCAAGUUCUGGGAUUCCACCCUUGAAGAGAAAUGAAUCUGCACUUAGUGAGCCCUGUAGGUCAGGACAUGUAGUUCUUGCUACCCUGAAGCUCACUAUGUACGACAGACUGGCCCCAACACACUGAGAUCUGCGUGGUUCUGUCUCCCCGGUGCUGAGAUCAAAGGUCGAGUUUAGGUCAAAGUUGUGGGCCCAGCCGAGAUGGGAGCAUCCCAGCCUUCCCAGGCACUCCCCCUCACUGUGAUGGACACCAGUGAAGGAACAUAGGAAGUAAAGUGUCAAUAACCUCCAACCUGAACCUUCAUGGCCACCUACCAUCCACAAGACAGAGCUGUGUAUAUUGGAGUCAGCUCUUCACCUGUGAUAUCAGCAGGGUCCGGAAGGGUGCUGAGCUUCCAUCAGCGAUGAGACUUAACAGGCAACAAACCCAAGGAGCGCUGUUGGCUUCCUACUGCCCAUACCCACCUGUAGAAAGCAAACCAAUGGUGCGAGGUGCAGAACCUAGCCGAUUCUCUCCUCUCCCUCUCCUAAGCUCAGCAGCAGGGAGAGCUGACCUCCUGUUUUCACCUAGAAACAGCAGAGCUGUGUGGGUCAGUCCCCUGCUUCCUGCCUCUCUGGACAAUGAAGUCCGCCAGGAGACUAAGUUUCAUUCCCUUUUGAAGGCAAAUGGUUUGCAAGAGUCAGGGCAUAUCUUUCCUCAGGAGAGGAAUUCCCCCUAAUAAAAUAAAGGUGUCAU
ensembl:antisense C130080G10Rik RIKEN cDNA C130080G10 gene